rnacentral:rRNA from 1 species
UUGGUUGAUCCUGCCAGUAGUCAUAUGCUCGUCUCAAAGAUUAAGCCAUGCAUGCGUAAGUAUAAGCGAUUGUACUGUGAGACUGCGAACGGCUCAUUAUAUCAGUAAUAAUUUCUUCGGUAAGCAUGUUCUUCAUUAAUCAAGGAUACCUGCAGUAAGUCUGGAAAUAGAUACAUGAUGUAAGAGACCAUCGUAUGGGGCUAGCACCGUAUUAGACUGAAGCCGACUUGCGAUUAUUGGGUGAAUCAUGAUAAUGGGCCUCAGCAGCAUUGCACAUUUGAGAAAUCGAUGAAGUCGUUUGAGGUUCUGCCCCAUCAGUUGUCGACGGGAGUGUAUUGGACGCAAGGCUGAAACUAUAAAGGAAUUGACGGAGAGUUAGGGCACCACUCAGGAGAGGGAGCCUGAGAGACGGCUUACCAUAUCCAAGGACUAGCAACAGGCGCGAAAACUUACCCACUGUGGACUCCAGACAUAGGUAGGAUUGACGAGAAAUAUCGAUGCGAAGCGUCUAUGCAUGAUUGCUAUCGGAAGUGAGAGCAAUGUAAAACCCUCAUCGUAGGAUCAACUGGAGGGCAAUUGUCUGGUGCCAGCAGCCGCGGUAAUUCGAACGAGACCUCCAGAAGCAUAUGCUAAAGUAGUUGCAGUGGUAUGGCAACAUAGCUACGUAGUUGAAUUUCUGAGCAUGGGACAUGACCGGUGCUUACCGGCAGGAAGUUCGAGGCAAUAACAGGUCUGUGAUGCCCUUAGCCAUCUUCUGGGCCGCACGCGCGCUACACUGAUCGGUUCAUCGAGAUCUUUAACUCUAAUUUUUGGAAUUGAGUGCUUGGUCGGAAGGCCUGGCUAAUCCUUGGAACGCUCAUCGUGCUGGGGCUAGAUUUUUGCAAUUAUUAAUCUCCAACGAGGAAUUCCUAGUAAACGCAAGUCAUCAGCUUGCAUUGAAUACGUCCCUGCCCUUUGUACACACCGCCCGUCGCACCUACCGAUUGAACGGUCCGAUGAAACCAUGGGAUGCUUCUGUUUGGAUUCAUUUUUGGACAGAGGCAGAACUCGGGUGAAUCUUAUUGUUUAGAGGAAGGUGAAGUCGUAACAAGGUUUCCGCAGGUGAACCUGCGGAAGGAUCAUA